rnacentral:rRNA from 1 species
UACGAAGGUCCCAAGCGUUAUCCGGAUUUAUUGGGUUUAAAGGGUGCGUAGGCGGCUUAUUAAGCCAGUGGUGAAAGCCCCAAGCUUAACUUGGGAAUUGCCAUUGAUACUGAUGAGCUUGAGUAGAUUUGAGGCGGGCGGAAUGUGUCGUGUAGCGGUGAAAUGCUUAGAUAUGACACAGAACACCGAUUGCGUAGGCAGCUCGCUAAACUCUUACUGACGCUGAGGCACGAAAGCAUGGGGAUCAAACAGG